AGGAAGAUGAGCAGGGGAGGAAGAAGAGGCUGCAGCAGUGGCUGAGGCUGCGACUGCAGCAGUGCAGCUGGGAAAGAAGAGAAGGAAAGGAAGAAGAAGAGAAAGGAAAAGGGAAGAAGAGAGGAAGAGGAGAAGGGGAGGCAGCUGCGGCAGUGGCAGUUGCAGCUGGAAGAGAAGGAGAGGAAACAUAGCAGGGGAGGAAGAAGAGGCUGCGGCUGUGGUGGCUGCGACUGCAGCUGCGGCUUCGACGUUGGCUGCGGUAGCUGGGGCAGCGGUGGUGGCUGCAGCAGCUGCUUUUGGGAAAGAGAAAGAAAGGAAAGGGAAAGAAGAAGAGGUUACGGUUGCGAUGGUGGCGGCUACGUCUGCGGCAGUUGUGUUUGGGAAAGAAAAAAGUAGAAACGAGAGAAGGGAGGAAGGAAGUAGUACAGUGGAAGGGGC
rnacentral:lncRNA from 1 species